AUACUUACCUGACAGGGGAGAUUCCAGGCAGAGGAUUGUCUAUUGCACUCUGAACGUGCUGGCUCCUGUGAUUUCCCCAAAUAUGGGAAACUCCACUGCAUAAUUUAUGGUAGUGAGGGACUUCAUUCAUGCUCUCUCAUG
rnacentral:snRNA from 1 species